GAAAGUACGUCAAUGCACGUCUUGUAAACUAAUCUGUUACUUUUUGAAAUAUAAAUAAGUUAUAUUUAAAAGAUUGGAUGGUUAUUUCACACGUAUCAAAGUUCUUCUGUCAUCAUUACUGUUUUUCAAUUAUUUUUUGAGAGUUCGAUCUUAAAACUAAGUUCGUCCUGACAUUUAUGGAAUAUUUGCCACUGGAAGUUAAACAACCAACAAUCAAUCAUCUUAUUACAAAAUUUAAAAUAUGCCUGAGCGAUAAUAUUCUUUUAAAUUUUAAUGUGAAAGACAGUUUCUCCAUUUUAUAAGAAGGCACUUCCAGGUCUAAUGUUAAGUGUAUCUACAUCCCGGGAUUGAGAUUUAUUUACUAUACUAGCAAAAAAAAAAGAAAAGAAAAGAAAUGAUGAUACGUUUUUUUUUUAAUAAUUAAAUAAUUAACGUUAAAAAUAUAUGUAAUUAACUUGAUCUAAAACUUGACCUCGCUCAUAAUAGAGAAUGUUAAAAAUCAAUUGUGUCGACUGCACGGGAUUGUCCAACGGCGGGAAAUACCCUGUAACUAUAAACACAGGUGAUGUUACUGACCGAUUGUGGAAUGUCAACUCAGGGUUAAAGUGAUGUGUAAUGAUUGACAUUAUUGUGCGCUUGAAAGUUGAGGCUCUAGUAGGUUCAUUUCAAU
rnacentral:lncRNA from 1 species